GAACCGAUAGUGCUAUACAUGCAGUCGAGCGGACAGAAGGGAGCUUGCUCCCGGAUGUUAGCGGCGGACGGGUGAGUAACACGUGGGUAACCUGCCUGUAAGACUGGGAUAACUCCGGGAAACCGGAGCUAAUACCGGAUAGUUCCUUGAACCGCAUGGUUCAAGGAUGAAAGACGGUUUCGGCUGUCACUUACAGAUGGACCCGCGGCGCAUUAGCUAGUUGGUGGGGUAAUGGCUCACCAAGGCGACGAUGCGUAGCCGACCUGAGAGGGUGAUCGGCCACACUGGGACUGAGACACGGCCCAGACUCCUACGGGAGGCAGCAGUAGGGAAUCUUCCGCAAUGGACGAAAGUCUGACGGAGCAACGCCGCGUGAGUGAUGAAGGUUUUCGGAUCGUAAAGCUCUGUUGUUAGGGAAGAACAAGUGCGAGAGUAACUGCUCGCACCUUGACGGUACCUAACCAGAAAGCCACGGCUAACUACGUGCCAGCAGCCGCGGUAAUACGUAGGUGGCAAGCGUUGUCCGGAAUUAUUGGGCGUAAAGGGCUCGCAGGCGGUUUCUUAAGUCUGAUGUGAAAGCCCCCGGCUCAACCGGGGAGGGUCAUUGGAAACUGGGAAACUUGAGUGCAGAAGAGGAGAGUGGAAUUCCACGUGUAGCGGUGAAAUGCGUAGAGAUGUGGAGGAACACCAGUGGCGAAGGCGACUCUCUGGUCUGUAACUGACGCUGAGGAGCGAAAGCGUGGGGAGCGAACAGGAUUAGAUACCCUGGUAGUCCACGCCGUAAACGAUGAGUGCUAAGUGUUAGGGGGUUUCCGCCCCUUAGUGCUGCAGCUAACGCAUUAAGCACUCCGCCUGGGGAGUACGGUCGCAAGACUGAAACUCAAAGGAAUUGACGGGGGCCCGCACAAGCGGUGGAGCAUGUGGUUUAAUUCGAAGCAACGCGAAGAACCUUACCAGGUCUUGACAUCCUCUGACAACCCUAGAGAUAGGGCUUUCCCUUCGGGGACAGAGUGACAGGUGGUGCAUGGUUGUCGUCAGCUCGUGUCGUGAGAUGUUGGGUUAAGUCCCGCAACGAGCGCAACCCUUGAUCUUAGUUGCCAGCA
rnacentral:rRNA from 1 species